UGAUGACGUGUGGUCAGCAGCUAAGAACAGAGGAACUCUUCCUGAUGUGACGGCUUUGGAAGCAGCUGAACUCACGGACUCAUCUUUGGAGCAGGACUGUACUUUCUGAGGGCAGGGGGUGCUUUCUAAGAACCUGGGAGGAUCCCUUGAACCACACAAAUGGAAGUCAUUCAACAUCUGCUAGCCUCAACAGCCCCUUCUGAAGACAGCAAAAGAAAGGGCCGGGUCCCUGGAUGCAUGGAGGCAGGACCUGGGACUCGUGGACCCGCUCGCACUUCUGGCUUCUGAGAGUGCUCUGGGGUGGGGGUCACGGAUAAAAGGCU
rnacentral:lncRNA from 1 species